rnacentral:rRNA from 1 species
UACGGGGGGAGCAAGCGUUGUUCGGAUUUACUGGGCGUAAAGGGCGCGUAGGCGGCGCAACAAGUCACUUGUGAAAUCUCCGGGCUUAACCCGGAGCGGUCAAGUGAUACUGUCGUGCUAGAGUGCGGAAGGGGCUACUGGAAUUCUCGGUGUAGCGGUGAAAUGCGUAGAUAUCGGAGAGGAACACCUGCGGCGAAGGCGGGUUGCUGGGCUGACACUGACGCUGAGGCGCGAAAGCUAGGGGAGCGAACGGG